ACAUCUGCUUAGCACAGCAAGUCCUGUCAUAUAACUGUCUCCCGCACUGUCUGUCCAUAAAGAAUGUCUCGGAAUUGGUGUAAUUCAGAGAAAUUAAUGACGACUUUCCGCGGGACGGCUCCCUGGGGGAUGAUUAACACUUCAUCGUCCAUCUGAUGCGCGGGGCCCAGCACUCCAUCGCGAACAUUUGGGCCGUGGCCAGCCGCAUUAAAGUUGUCUUUCAGGAGGUGUAGCCUGGUUGUGGCCUGGGGAGUUUGGCUGUUCUGUGUGGUGUGCCUCCACGGUGUGGUCUCCAGUGAGCUGCUCAGCAGGUGUAGACCCGGGCAGGGCGAAGCUCUCUGGGCUGUUGACUGUGAGGCCCCUCCCCACCGGUAGAUUUCCAAGCCUCUUCAGUUUUGCAUUCAGCCACAGCAGGAUCCAAACUUCAGUGACCUGAGUACCUGUCACACCUAUUUGUUCUGAAUAGCCCCUUUGAACAGAGCCUUUCUUGACAGAGAAAAGGAGUAUUGGUAAACUCCUCCAGGGCAGGACCUGACUCUUCAGAGGAAUUUUUUAAUCCCCCUCCCCAGAAGUGCCCACGUCAAGGCCAUAGUAGAGAAGGAGCUCAAGAGCAAUCCCUAAGCAACCACGCUUGGAAGCAUCCUGCAACAGAGGGAUUUGUUCCAGACUCAGAUUUAAUCCACUAUUACCUUUUCGUAAGACAAGUGUUGUCUGAAGGAGUCUGUGUGUAAUUUUGAGACAAAAGGAUUGCAGAACUCAGCUCCCAGGUUGUCUCAUAUCUGAUUCUUCGAAAGAGGAAAAGAAGCGAACUCUUCUGCACAAUAGCUGAGCAGAUAGGAGAGAAAAAGCUUGAAGAUUCACAGUGGAGCAAGGCUAAUUGGAGCCUUCCUCAGAGCAGCUCAACUAUCCCAGUUUUACCUAUCCCAUUCCUUGCCAUUCCCACUUGUAAUUCUGUCUUGGCAAGAACACCAUACUGAAGGUUCUUAAAGCAGUUUGUAGACUUUAAUUAGUUCUGUGGAAAGUCAGUCAAAGCUCAGCCUUCAUUCUGCCAACAGAGACAACAGUGGUGGGUGUGGAAGGAAGGCAAGAAGAAGAUGGACACCCAGAGCAGUUGUGCAACUUACUGAAGGCCAUGUGGAUAGGAGGAACUGGGUUUAAAACCCCUGAGUCUUGAUAAAAGUGUCUUAGCCUUCUAGAUUCCUAAACAGGUAGUGGGCUCAUCCUACUAACCUACUUUGCUAGGGUGUUGUUGAUGAAUGCUUAUAAACCCUGUCCUAGAUGAUAGGUUUGGAAGAUUGUUAAAGAAAGCAUGUCAUUAAGUCCCUACUCACCCCCUCCUUGACAAAUAGCCCUGGAGGGAAAUGAAUAUUAGCCAGAAUCGUAGGGCCUCCACUUCAAUGGAAUGAACUGAGAUUCAACAACAAGAGAAAUGUUCCAACAGUGAGGGAAAUCAACAAUGUGCUGGGGGUGAAGGGUAGGGGUUGGGAAGGCCUAAACAGGUGACCAUUGCCAGACAGCCCAGACAAGAUCAUCACAGAAUAGCUGAUUCCCAUUAGACACUGUGGGUGAUCAUUAUCUUAAAAUUCAGGACACUAUUUUUGUAGUAGUUUCCCUUCCUCUCUUUGUAAGAGCAGAAGACCUCUCUGGGGCCUAUCACAAGACAAGCGGGUGUUUGCAAAUGAGGGACGUACUUUGAGACUGAAUUGCUCUGUGCUUCUCUAAAAGACAUGGUUAAGAGUUUGGGCGCUGAUGUUAGAGACUGAGAUUAAAAUCCUUCCUUGCCACUUCCAUCAGUAUAAAUUUGGAUAAGUUUCUUAACUUCUCUAAGCCUUGAUUUUCUCACCUAUAAAAUGGGCCUAAUAAUAGUGCCUAACUUAGAGGUUUGUUGUAAAGGUUAAAUGCAAUUAUUCAGGUAAAGCCUUAAUGGAGCCUGAUAUGUAGUAAGCACUCAAUCCAUUUUAUCUACUGACUCUUUUCUCUGUGUGGGUUACCCACUUUGGAGAUUGUCCCCAGUAAUUUCUUUGGUCAAGUCUUGAUCUCCCUGGCCCCUUGGCUGUCUUCUCCCACCAUGAUCAGUGAGAAGUUGAGGAGCACUAAUACCAAAUUCUUUUUCAUGUUAGUUAGGAGAAAGCAGAAUUACGAAGGUCAACCUGCUGGUGUAAAAAAAUAUUACAUAGAUUAGCCCUGCUCUACAUAUUAGAUAUGUUCUCAAAAUGCCUAAGUGGCCUUUUUUUUUUUUUUUAAUUUAAGUUCUAGGGUACAUGUGCACAACGUGCAGGUUUGUUACAUGUGUAUACAUGUGCCAUGUUGGUGUGUGGCACCCAUUAACUUGUCAUUUACAUUAGGUAUAUCUCCUA
ensembl:lncRNA novel transcript